AUUGAACGCUGGCGGAAUGCUUUACACAUGCAAGUCGAACGGCAGCACGGACUUCGGUCUGGUGGCGAGUGGCGAACGGGUGAGUAAUGUAUCGGAAAGUGCCCAGUCGUGGGGGAUAACGUAGUGGAAAUUACGCUAAUACCGCAUACGAUCUAUGGAUGAAAGCGGGGGAUCGCAAGACCUCGCGCGAUUGGAGCGGCCGAUAUCAGAUUAGGUAAUUGGUGGGGUAAAGGCCCCCCAAGCCAACGAUCUGUAGCUGGUCUGAGAGGACGACCAGCCACACUGGAACUGAGACACGGUCCAGACUCCUACGGGAGGCAGCAGUGGGGAAUUUUGGACAAUGGGCGAAAGCCUGAUCCAGCCAUUCCGCGUGCAGGAUGAAGGCCCUCGGGUUGUAAACUGCUUUUGUACAGAACGAAAAGGUUUCUACUAAUACUAGGAGCUCAUGACGGUACUGUAAGAAUAAGCACCGGCUAACUACGUGCCAGCAGCCGCCGUAA
rnacentral:rRNA from 1 species